UACGUAGGGUGCAAGCGUUAAUCGGAAUUACUGGGCGUAAAGCGUGCGCAGGCGGUUGUGCAAGACAGAUGUGAAAUCCCCGGGCUCAACCUGGGAAUUGCAUUUGAGACUGCACGGCUAGAGUGUGUCAGAGGGGGGUAGAAUUCCACGUGUAGCAGUGAAAUGCGUAGAGAUGUGGAGGAAUACCGAUGGCGAAGGCAGCCCCCUGGGAUAACACUGACGCUCAUGCACGAAAGCGUGGGGAGCAAACAGG
rnacentral:rRNA from 1 species